UACGAAGGGGGCUAGCGUUGCUCGGAAUUACUGGGCGUAAAGGGCGCGUAGGCGGACAGUUUAGUCAGAGGUGAAAGCCCAGGGCUCAACCUUGGAAUUGCCUUUGAUACUGGCUGUCUUGAGUUCGGGAGAGGUGAGUGGAAUGCCGAGUGUAGAGGUGAAAUUCGUAGAUAUUCGGCGGAACACCAGUGGCGAAGGCGACUCACUGGCCCGAUACUGACGCUGAGGCGCGAAAGCGUGGGGAGUAAACAGG
rnacentral:rRNA from 1 species